GAUGAACGCUGGCGGCGUGCUUAACACAUGCAAGUCGAGCGAGAAGUUUUGAAAAGAUUCUUCGGAUGAAAUUUAAAAUGGAAAGCGGCGGACGGGUGAGUAACGCGUAGGCAACCUGCCCCAUACAAAGGGAUAGCAUUUGGAAACGAAUAUUAAUACCUUAUGAAACUUAACUAGUGCAUGCUAGGUAGGUCAAAGAUUUAUCGGUAUGGGAUAGGCCUGCGUCUGAUUAGCUAGUUGGUGAGGUAACGGCUCACCAAGGCGACGAUCAGUAGCCGACCUGAGAGGGUGAACGGCCACAUUGGAACUGAGACACGGUCCAAACUCCUACGGGAGGCAGCAGUGGGGAAUAUUGCACAAUGGGGGAAACCCUGAUGCAGCAACGCCGCGUGAACGAUGAAGGCCUUUGGGUCGUAAAGUUCUGUUCUAGGUGAUGAAAACUGACAGUAACCUAGGAGAAAGCCCCGGCUAACUCCGUG
rnacentral:rRNA from 1 species